GUAGGUAAGUGCCUGACUGUCGGGAUUUAUCCUGAGGAAAGUCCACCCACAAGAGAGAAUCGGCUGCUUAUGUUAUGUAAGUCCUAGAAAUGGGAGGCAACCGCUCAGAAACGACACGUCCUUACAUUGUUUAAACAUGUGGCUUGCGAAGGUUUUGGUGACAAAACUGAGUUAACCAGCUGAAUAGGUGUAAGGGAACGAUGAGACGGCGAGACCCUGUUUGUGCAAGUCCGUUGAGACGCUAAGUUGAAUGUCAGGAAUGCUUGUUCAUUUAAGUGAAGGCUAACAAAAGGUGGCUUACACUUGCCUAC
rnacentral:RNase_P_RNA from 1 species